rnacentral:misc_RNA from 1 species
UGAAGAACGCAGCGAAAUGCGAUACUUGGUGUGAAUUGCAGAAUCCCGUGAACCAUCGAGUCUUUGAACGCAAGUUGCGCCCGAAGCCACUAGGCCGAGGGCACGCCUGCCUGGGCGUCACACGUCGUUGCCCCCCACCAUCUACUCCUUCGGGAUUGCGGGGGGCGGAUGAUGGCCUCCCGUGCGCCUAGCCGCGCGGUUGGCAUAAAUACCAAGUCCUCGGCGACGCACGCCACGACAAUCGGUGGUUGCGAAACCUCGGUUGCCCGUCGUGUGCGUUCGUCGCGCAUCGAGGGCUCGAAAAAAUGCUCGGCUCCGGCUCGGCUUUCAACGCGACCCCAGGUCAGGCGGGGUUACCCGCUGAGUUUAAGCAUAUCAAUAAGCGGAGGA